rnacentral:lncRNA from 1 species
AAGGUCUCCGAUAAGCAUGCUAGCAUGUGUGAAAACCCUAGCCCUUUGGAAGAUCAAUUUGGUCUCAAACCUUGCAAAUUAGCUUACCCAAUUUGGUGUGUAUUUGGGUUAGGUCAUGCCACCUAGAGGCAGCCCAAAGUGGGGCAUCUAAAGUUCUCUUAACACCACAAACUAAAAGUCCAAGUUGUGAAGAACUCUUGGCACAA